rnacentral:rRNA from 1 species
GAUCCUGGCUCAGGAUGAACGCUAGCUACAGGCUUAACACAUGCAAGUCGAGGGGUUUCAAAGGAGCUUGCUCCUGCGGAACGACCGGCGCACGGGUGAGUAACGCGUAUCCAACCUGCCCUUCAUAUUGGUAUAGCCUCCCGAAAGGGAGAUUAAUCCCGAAUGCCAUAUCAUAGUUGCCUGACGAUGAUAUGAAAGCUCCGGCGAUGAAGGAUGGGGAUGCGUUCCAUUAGGUAGUAGGCGGGGUAACGGCCCACCUAGCCGACGAUGGAUAGGGGUUCUGAGAGGAAGGUCCCCCACACUGGUACUGAGACACGGACCAGACUCCUACGGGAGGCAGCAGUGAGGAAUAUUGGUCAAUGGGCGAGAGCCUGAACCAGCCAAGUCGCGUGAGGGAAGACGGUACUAAGUAUUGUAAACCUCUUUUGUCAGGGAACAAAACCUGCAUGUAUGCAAUAAUGAGUGUACCUGAAGAAAAAGCAUCGGCUAACUCCGUG